rnacentral:lncRNA from 1 species
UGUAAACAGUACAUGCUUUAAUCACAUUUAUCCUAGUUUCACAUGCUCUUUCCUACGUCAAACCAUGUACACACAGGGGGUAGAAUAACUGAGAACUACAGAUGCAUAAUAUGAAAUGUCCCUCUGGCUCUUCUUCGAAGCCAUUCAUCAUUCACUGACCACCCCAGAUUCAGUAACUGGGGUUAUACAAACUAUCUACUCACAGCCCAUCUAUAUAUCCCAAGUGAAGCUUUCACUAUUUACUCAAUAAUUUCUUCAGUGUAC